rnacentral:rRNA from 1 species
UACAGAGGUCUCAAGCGUUGUUCGGAUUCAUUGGGUUUAAAGGGUGCGUAGGUGGCCCUGUAAGUCAGUGGUGAAAUAUCUCAGCUUAACUGAGAGGGUGCCAUUGAUACUGCAGGGCUUGAGUACAGAUGAGGUAGGCGGAAUUGACGGUGUAGCGGUGAAAUGCAUAGAUAUCGUCAAGAACACCGAUAGCGAAGGCAGCUUACCAAGCUGUAACUGACACUGAGGCACGAAAGUGUGGGGAUCAAACAGG